rnacentral:rRNA from 1 species
UACGGAGGUGGCAAGCGUUGCUCGGAAUCACUGGGCGUAAAGGGCGCGUAGGCGGGGAGGUAAGUCGGGUGUGAAAUCCCUUGGCUCAACUGAGGAAGUGCGCCCGAAACUGCAGAACUUGAGUACCGGAGAGGAUGGCGGAAUUCCCCAAGUAGAGGUGAAAUUCGUAGAUAUCGGGAGGAACACCAGUGGCGAAGGCGGCGACCUGGCCAAUCACUGACACUGAGACGCGAAAGCGUGGGGAGCAAACAGG